rnacentral:rRNA from 1 species
AUGUCUUCCUCCUCCUCCUCCUCCUCCGGUGCUUCCCAGACCAUCCUCAAUGGGCAGGUCACCGAGAAGCUAACACGCACGAACUACGUGCUCUGGCGCACGCAGGUCACUCCCCAUCUGCGUGGCGCCGGCGCCUUCGGCUAUGUCGACGACACCACACUGGAGCCGGACAGACUUCAUGCCACCAAGGACAAGGAUGGCAAAGAAAGCGCUGAGCCCAACCCUCUCCACCCAAUCUGGGUCCGGGAGGAUCAACAGGUGUUGGGCUACCUGCUCAACACCCUCUCCAAGGAGGUACUGACCGCGGUGACCACGGUCACCACAACGCACGCGCUCUGGACAGCGGUGGCAGGUAUGUUUUCCUCGUAGUCCAUGAGCCGUGUGAAUAACAUCAGGACGACGCUCAUUAACGCGCAGAAGGGCAACCAGACGGUUGCCGCCUACUUCGCCUCUCUUCGUGGCCUCGCCGACGAGCUUGCCGCUGCGGGGAAGGCCAUCCAAGACGACGAACUCAUCUCCUACAUCAUCCACGGCCUCGACGUUGACUACCAGCCCCUCGUCUCCGCCCUCGAUGCACGCGUCAUGCCGGUCUCCCUCGACGAGCUCUACGCCAUGCUCGGCAACUUCGAGUACCAGCCCCUCGUCUCCGCUCUCGAUGCACGCGUCAUGCCGGUCUCCCUCGACGAGCUCUACGCCAUGCUCGGCAACUUCGACCAGCGCAUGGCCCAGUUUAAUCACUUGGGCAGCGGCGGCUUUGUAAUGUCCUCGAUGCGGCUAUAUCUCCCACGUGUCGAAGCACGACUUAGAGGCAUAACCGCAUUGAAAGCAAUGUCGCAAGUGAGGCAAUCUUCACACAACCCAUGUAAUACAUAA